rfam:Triticum aestivum genome assembly, contig: Triticum_aestivum_CS42_TGACv1_scaffold_647176_T_7AS-0.110784_5DL-0.055770
CACUUGAGCCUUAGUAAAUAUCUACACUAGUAAGUUUUUUCUUCAUGUUAGAAAUACUUAGCAGUGUAGAUACUCCCUAAGGCUAGGUUA